ACGACCUUACUUGAACAGGAUCUGUUCUAUAGGAUCGUACUACUGUGUCCUUGAUUUCUAAGGAGACAGGAACAAACAUCUGGUGGAUGAAUCAAGACCGUGUGAUCAGAGCGUGAGUAACGGCUAGGAUGAAGCUCGUUUGCGAGAUUUCAUUCUCUGCUGUAGAUGAUCGUUCUCGGCCAGUCUCACCUGACCGGGGUGGUCACACGGUGUUCUGACAGACU